GUGCCAGCCGCCGCGGUAAUACCGGCAGCCCGAGUGAUGGCCGAUCUUAUUGGGCCUAAAGCGUCCGUAGCUGGCCGCGCAAGUCCAUCGGGAAAUCCACCUGCUCAACGGGUGGGCGCCCGGUUGAAACUGCGCGGCUUGGGACCGGAAGGUGCGACGGGUACGUCCGGGGUAGGAGUGAAAUCCCAUAAUCCCGCACGGACCACCGAUGGCGAAAGCACUUCGAGAAAACGGAUCCGACAGUGAGGGACGAAAGCCAGGGUCUCCAACCGGAUUAGAUACCCGGUAGUCC
rnacentral:rRNA from 1 species